GACGAACGCUGGCGGCGUGCCUAAUACAUGCAAGUCGAGCGGAAUGAUGAAGAAGCUUGCUUCUUCUGAUUUUAGCGGCGGACGGGUGAGUAACACGUGGGCAGCCUACCUUGUAGAUUGGGAUAACUCCGGGAAACCGGGGCUAAUACCGAAUAAUCCAUUUCGCUUCAUGGCGGAAUGUUAAAAGGCGGCUUUUAGCUGUCACUGCAAGAUGGGCCCGCGGCGCAUUAGCUAGUUGGUAGGGUAACGGCCUACCAAGGCGACGAUGCGUAGCCGACCUGAGCGAGUGAUCGGCCACACUGGUACUGAGACACGGCCCAGACUCCUACGGGAGGCAGCAGUAGGGAAUCUUCCACAAUGGACGAAAGUCUGAUGGAGCAACGCCGCGUGAGUGAAGAAGGUUUUCGGAUCGUAAAACUCUGUUGUAAGGGAAGAACACGUACGAGAGUAACUGCUCGUGCCUUGACGGUACCUUAUUAGAAAGCCACGGCUAACUACGUGCCAGCCGCCGCGGUAACAC
rnacentral:rRNA from 1 species